CUUAUUUAUCAUUACGGCGAUGCAUCAACUCCUCAACUAAGACUGAACUAGAAGCUAGAUUGCCUGAUGUCUUAGCCUCACUUCUGACAAAUACCCAGCCAGUAGACAGAGUUGUGGAUAGUUUAAACUCACUGCCAGACUUUUGACACGAAGCAGAAAGUUUGACCACAUUACAC